UACGGGAGGGUGCAAGCGUUUAUGCCGGAAUUCACUGGGUUUAAAGGGUGCGUUAGGCGGGUAGGUAACGUCCGUGGGUGAAAUCUCAUGAGCUUAACGUCAGAAACUGCCGUGGAUACUAUUGCCUUGAAUAUUGUGGAGGUGAGCGGAAUAUGUCAUGUAGCGGUGAAAUGCUUAGAUAUGACAUAGAACACCAAUUGACGAAGGCAGCUCGACUAACACAAUGAUUGACGCUGAGGCACGAAAGCGUGGGGAUCAAACAGG
rnacentral:rRNA from 1 species